AUAGAAGUCAAACAAACAAACCCACAAACAGACACUUCGAGUUAUUGUAUGAUUUACUUUGAUAAAUGAACCACUGAAAGAGAUCCAGUCUUUCGAACUUGUUGACCACACCACUACCCAUACCCUAUGUUGGGCACACUGCUUUUCGAAACUGGCAUCCAGGGCAGCUUCUGUUGGUGUGUGAGACCUUCAUCUGUAGUGAUGGAGUAGAAAUCUCUAUUAUAAGCUGCUGCUGGAUUGGCAGAAUAGCUCACAGGUUGUGCACCCACCUUGAAGCUGUCUAGUCUCCAAUAUAUUCUUGACCUGACUGUAAGCUAUUACCCUAAUGUUUUUCAGGCAUGGCGUUGCAUCGAUGAUUGCGCCCUCCGUCAGAUGGGACACGAAGUUGGGGAGCCGACUGCCAGCGUGUUGGUUGCUGGUGCACGUGAAGGAUUCCCAUGGUGUUUUCACAAAGAGGUGACUCAUCAAUGUGUGUGCCAUCUCUCGGGUAGACGUUAAACUGGGAAACCCGUCUACAUCUUCCGGCAUUCUUUGAUGGACUUUAAAGAUCCAACGGUGUCCUUCGCGAAGAGCAGAGAGCGACUUGGGAUUGAAUGGCAAAGGAAGCAAAGACUAUGGAGUUCGCCACGGUUCACUUGGCUACGCCUUGAUGGAUUUGAGGGUUGUGGAGUAGCGGCUGAAACUGAAACCCGAAUCCUAUCCAGGUUUCUCCUGAUGACUCCAUCUUUGCUCUUUACUUCUUCAGGUUCCUUCUUGGUCUUCCGUUUGAUUCACAUACACACUGUUGUUUAAAUGGUAGCCUGGUGUUGGCGCAGUGGUUAGGGCAGCGGCUUGGGAUCCAAAAGGUCCUGAGUUCAAGCCCCGUUGGGCCAGGGGGGGGGGGGGGGGGGGGGGGGGGGGGGGGGGGGGG
rnacentral:lncRNA from 1 species